rnacentral:rRNA from 1 species
CUGCCAGUAGUCAUAUGCUUGUCUCAAAGAUUAAGCCAUGCAUGUCUCAGUACAAGCCAUAUUAAGGUGAAACCGCGAAAGGCUCAUUAAAUCAGUUAUGGUUCCUUAGAUCGUACCCACAUUUACUUGGAUAACUGUGGUAAUUCUAGAGCUAAUACAUGCAAACAGAGCUCCGACCGGAGACGGAAGGAGUGCUUUUAUUAGAUCAAAACCAAUCGGCGGCAAUUUGGUUUCGGCUUUAUUGUUCGUCGCACUUUUUGGUGACUCUGAAUAACUUUUGGCUGAUCGCACGGUCUCGCACCGGCGACGCAUCUUUCAAAUGUCUGCCUUAUCAACUGUCGAUGGUAGGUUCUGCGCCUACCAUGGUUGUAACGGGUAACGGGGAAUUAGGGUUCGAUUCCGGA